AGUGAACGCUGGCGGUAGGCCUAACACAUGCAAGUCGAACGGCAGCACAGUAAGAGCUUGCUCUUACGGGUGGCGAGUGGCGGACGGGUGAGGAAUACAUCGGAAUCUACUUUUUCGUGGGGGAUAACGUAGGGAAACUUACGCUAAUACCGCAUACGACCUACGGGUGAAAGCAGGGGAUCUUCGGACCUUGCGCGAUUGAAUGAGCCGAUGUCGGAUUAGCUAGUUGGCGGGGUAAAGGCCCACCAAGGCGACGAUCCGUAGCUGGUCUGAGAGGCUGAUCAGCCACACUGGAACUGAGACACGGUCCAGACUCCUACGGGAGGCAGCAGUGGGGAAUAUUGGACAAAGGGCGCAAGCCUGAUCCAGCCAUACCGCGUGGGUGAAGAAGGCCUUCGGGUUGUAAAGCCCUUUUGUUGGGAAAGAAAAGCAGCAGGUUAAUACCCCGCUGUUCUGACGGUACCCAAAGAAUAAGCACCGGCUAACUUCGUG
rnacentral:rRNA from 1 species